rnacentral:rRNA from 1 species
AUUGAACGCUGGCGGCAGGCUUAACACAUGCAAGUCGAGCGAGCGGCGGACGGGUGAGUAAUGUCUGGGAAACUGCCUGAUGGAGGGGGCUAACUACUGGAAACGGUAGCUAAUACCGCAUACCAUCAGAUGUGCCCAGAUGGGAUUAGCUAGUAGGUGGGGUAAUGGCUCACCUAGGCGACGAUCCCUAGCUGGUCUGAGAGGAUGACCAGACACACGGGAACUGAGACAAGGUCCAGACUCCUACGGGAGGAAGCAGGGGGGAAUAUUGCACAAUGGGCGCAAGCCUGAGACAGCCAUGCCGCGUGUAUGAAGAAGGCCUUCGGGUUGUAAAGUACUUUCAGCGGGGAGGCGUUACCCGCAGAAGAAGCACCGGCUAACUCCGUGCCAGCAGCCGAGGUAAUUC